CAAGUCGAGCGGGAUUGGUUCAGCAAUGGAUCAUGAGAGCGGCGCACGGGUGAGUAACGCGUACACGACCUACCUUUGACUGGGGGAUAGCCCUGGGAAACUGGGAUUAAUACCGCAUAUAAUUCUCGAUAAUAAAGGUUGGGAAUGAAAGUUCAGGCGGUCAGAGAUGGGUGUGCGUCUGAUUAGCUAGUUGGUAAGGUAACGGCUUACCAAGGCGAUGAUCAGUAGGGGGCGUGAGAGCGUGGACCCCCACACGGGUACUGAGACACGGACCCGACUCCUACGGGAGGCAGCAGUAAGGAAUAUUGGACAAUGGCCGCAAGGCUGAUCCAGCCAUCCAGCGUGCAGGAAGAAGGCCCUAUGGGUUGUAAACUGCUUUUAUCAGGGAAUAAACCUCUUUAUUUAUAGAGAGCUGAAGGUACCUGAAGAAUAAGCACCGGCUAACUCCGUGCCAGCAGCCGCGGUAAUACGGAGGGUGCGAGCGUUAUCCGGAAUUACUGGGUUUAAAGGGUGCGUAGGCGGCCCUGUAAGUCAGGAGUGAAAGUUUGCGGCUCAACCGUAAAAUUGCUUUUGAUACUGCGGGGCUAGAAUUAGGAUGAGGUCAGCGGAAUGUGGCAUGUAGCGGUGAAAUGCAUAGAUAUGCCAUAGAACACCAAUUGCGAAGGCAGCUGGCUAGACCUGGAUUGACGCUGAGGCACGAAAGCGUGGGGAGCGAACAGGAUUAGAUACCCUGGUAGUCCACGCCCUAAACGAUGCUUACUCGACGUAUGGCCCUAGAGGUUGUGCGUCCAAGGGAAACCGUUAAGUAAGCCACCUGGGGAGUAC
rnacentral:rRNA from 1 species